GAUGAACGCUGGCGGCGUGCCUAAUACAUGCAAGUCGAGCGAACGGACGAUAAGCUUGCUUCUCUGAUGUUAGCGGCGGACGGGUGAGUAACACGUGGAUAACCUACCUAUAAGACUGGGAUAACUUCGGGAAACCGGAGCUAAUACCGGAUAAUAUUUUGAACCGCAUUGUUCAAAAGUGAAAGACGGUCUUGCUGUCACUUAUAGAUGGAUCCGCGCUGCAUUAGCUAGUUGGUAAGGUAACGGCUUACCAAGGCAACGAUGCAUAGCCGACCUGAGAGGGUGAUAGGCCACACUGGAACUGAGACACGGUCCAGACUCCUACGGGAGGCAGCAGUAGGGAAUCUUCCGCAAUGGGCGAAAGCCUGACGGAGCAACGCCGCGUGAGUGAUGAAGGUCUUCGGAUCGUAAAACUCUGUUAUUAGGGAAGAACAUAUGUGUAAGUAACUGUGCACAUCUUGACGGUACCUAAUCAGAAAGCAACGGCUAACUACGUG
rnacentral:rRNA from 1 species